GCCCGCCUAGCUCAAUCGGAUAGAGCGUCAGACUCUUACGUCUAAGGCGGGUUAUCUGAAGGCUGCGAGUUCGACCCUCGCGGUGGGCU